CUGGCCCUGAAUCAAGGCCAGCACUUCCUGGUGCUGUUGGUUUCAAGCAGGAGCCUAAAGAGAUGUCUUUCUUUUUGGUGUUUUUAUCAGUACCGGGGACACGACU
rnacentral:snoRNA from 1 species